rnacentral:rRNA from 1 species
GAUGAACGCUAGCUACAGGCUUAACACAUGCAAGUCGAGGGGUAGCAGGGUAGCAAUACCGCUGACGACCGGCGCACGGGUGAGUAACACGUAUCCAACCUUCCCAUAACUCGGGGAUAGCCUUUCGAAAGAAAGAUUAAUACCCGAUAGUACUUAUAUAGGGCAUCCUACAUAAGUUAAAGAUUUAUUGGUUAUGGAUGGGGAUGCGUUCCAUUAGAUAGUUGGUGAGGUAACGGCUCACCAAGUCUUCGAUGGAUAGGGGUUCUGAGAGGAAGGUCCCCCACAUUGGUACUGAGACACGGACCAAACUCCUACGGGAGGCAGCAGUGAGGAAUAUUGGUCAAUGGGCGAGAGCCUGAACCAGCCAAGUAGCGUGAAGGAUGAAGGUCCUAUGGAUUGUAAACUUCCUUUAUAGUAGAAUAAAGUGAUCCACGUGUAGAUUUUUGUAUGUAUACUAUGAAUAAGGAUCGGCUAACUCCGUGCCAGCCGCCGCCGUAA